GUCAGAUCACGUUGAAAAAAAACGGUUCGCAUACGAUCAGCGAAGUUAAGUAACGUUGUGCCUGAUCAGUACAGUGAUGCGUGACCGCUUGCGAAUACCAGUUGCUGUAAG